GCCUAUGGCUACACCACCCUGAAUGCACUUAAUCUUGUCUGAUCUCAGAAGCUAAGUAGGGUCAGGCCUGGUUAGUACUUGGAUGGGAGACAUUAAUCAUUUCAAAGGCCAGAAUCUGAAUGCA
ensembl:rRNA 5S_rRNA 5S ribosomal RNA